rnacentral:rRNA from 1 species
CCCUUAGAUGUCCUGGGCCGCACGCGCGCUACACUGACAUGUUCAACAAGCCUCCUAGUUCGACAGGAUUUGGGAAAUCUUUGAACGCAUGUCGUGAUAGGGAUAGAUCAUUGCAAUUAUUGAUCUUGAACGAGGAAUUCCUAGUAAACGCGAGUCAUCAGCUCGCAUUGAUUACGUCCCUGCCCUUUGUACACACCGCCCGUCGCUCCUACCGAUUGGGUGUGCUGGUGAAAUGUUCGGAUCGGCCGUUUGUCGCGGUUUCCGCGGCUCGUGGCUGAGAAGUUCAUUAAACCCUCCCACCUAGAGGAAGGAGAAGUCGUAACA